UACCUGCAGCUCGAGUGGUAACCGCUUUUAUUGGGCCUAAAGCGUCCGUAGCCGGUUUGGUAAAUAUCUGGGUAAAUCGUGAGGCUUAACUUCACGAAUUUCGGAUAGACUGCCAGACUUGGGAUCGGGGGAGGUCAGAGGUACUCCAGGGGUAGCGGUGAAAUGUUGUAAUCCUUGGAGGACCACCGGUAGCGAAGGCGUCUGACUAGAACGAGUCCGACGGCGAGGGACGAAGCCCUGGGGCGCAAACCGGAUUAGAUACCCGGGUAGUCCAGGGUGUAAACAAUGUGGGCUUUGUAUUGGAGGUCCUACGUGGGCGUCCAGUGCAGAAGAGAAGUUGUUAAGCCCACGCCUGGGAAGUACGGUCGCAAGGCUGAAACUUAAAGGAAUUGGCGGGGGAGCACAGCAACGGGAGGAGCGUGCGGUUU
rnacentral:rRNA from 1 species